rnacentral:rRNA from 1 species
AUUGAACGCUGGCGGCAGGCUUAACACAUGCAAGUCGAGCGGGGAAAGGUAGCUUGCUACCUGACCUAGCGGCGGACGGGUGAGUAAUGCUUAGGAAUCUGCCUAUUAGUGGGGGACAACAUCUCGAAAGGGAUGCUAAUACCGCAUACGUCCUACGGGAGAAAGCAGGGGACCUUCGGGCCUUGCGCUAAUAGAUGAGCCUAAGUCGGAUUAGCUAGUUGGUGGGGUAAAGGCCUACCAAGGCGACGAUCUGUAGCGGGUCUGAGAGGAUGAUCCGCCACACUGGGAAUGAGACACGGCCCAGACUCCUACGGGAGGCAGCAGUGGGGAAUAUUGGACAAUGGGGGGAACCCUGAUCCAGCCAUGCCGCGUGUGUGAAGAAGGCCUUUUGGUUGUAAAGCACUUUAAGCGAGGAGGAGGCUACCGAGAUUAAUACUCUUGGAUAGUGGACGUUACUCGCAGAAUAAGCACCGGCUAACUCUGUG